UUAAAACACUUGUUCUCACAUGAUCACUGAAGUUAAGCAAUGUUGAGCCUUGUCAGUACUUAGAUGGGUGACUUCUUGGGAAUACCAGGUGCUGUAA